rnacentral:rRNA from 1 species
AACGAACGCUGGCGGCAGGCUUAACACAUGCAAGUCGAACGGGUGUAGCAAUACAUCAGUGGCAGACGGGUGAGUAACACGUGGGAACCUUCCUAGGGGUACGGAACAACUCAGGGAAACUUGAGCUAAUACCGUAUACGUCCGCGAGGCGAAAGAUUUAUCGCCCUUAGACGGGCCCGCGUCGGAUUAGCUAGUUGGUGGGGUAACGGCCUACCAAGGCGACGAUCCGUAGCUGAUCUUAGAGGAUGAUCAGCCACACUGGGACUGAGACACGGCCCAGACUCCUACGGGAGGCAGCAGUGGGGAAUCUUGGACAAUGGGCGCAAGCCUGAUCCAGCCAUGCCGCGUGAGUGAAGAAGGUCUUCGGAUUGUAAAGCUCUUUUGCCAGGGACGAUAAUGACGGUACCUGGAGAAUAAGCCCCGGCAAACUUCGUGCCAGCAGCCGCAGUAA